rnacentral:rRNA from 1 species
GCACCACAAGAACGCGUGGAGCAUGUGGCUUAAUUUGACUCAACGCGGGAAAUCUUACCGGGUCCGGACACACUGAGGAUUGACAGGCAAUAUCUCAUGGUUAUUAACCGGUUAUUUAUUUAAUCGGUUAUUAAGCAUCGAGUGUUAAAUAUGCUAGUCCUUUCAUGAUUAUGUGAUAGGUGGUGCAUGGCCGUUCUUAGUUCGUGGAGUGAUCUGUCUGCUUAAUUGCGUUUCACUAAGGGCCCAUAAAUUCAAGGUAUGUUAGCUAUCGUCGC